ACACGUUUUAAUUUUAUCUUUCUAUUUUCUUUCAGCCGGAUUAAAACUGACGUCAUUAAUUCAGUUCCACGAUUAAAAAAAUUAGAACGAUUUAUGAAAUAUCUAUAAAAAUAGUGACAGAUUCACAUAUAUAUCGUGCUAAAAACCACAAUGAUGUUAUCUCAGUGUUCAUAGAGCGACUAACACUGCGGUUUCCUGUGAGGGUAUUCUUUUGUCGGCUAUGUAAAUAUUCACUGAGAUUACACACACAGUUUUACCCAAAGGGACGUAUCUGCUAAUCCAAUUAUUAUUUUAUGAUAUCGUCAUAUCACCGAUUGCAUUGAUAACGCGAAAUUAUAUUUCAGAAUUCGUUAAACAUUACGUGAUUCUGUGCGAAUAAUGUUUGUUUGAAGAAUUCAAUAAAUUGAUUGGCAAACAGAAAAUAUUAAAAUAUUUGAAAUUUCUGAUGUGUAAUUUUACGAUGGGCUGGAACGAGACGAGGUAAAAAAUAGAUGUUACACAGGAAUUCUUGCGGAAAUGAAAUAAAUGAUCAAAGAUUUGCAAAACAUGUUUUCGUACGGUUGAAAUCCUAAGAAUUGUGAAAUCGAUUCUCAAAAUUAUUACGAAUUUUUAAAUUUAUAUGCGAUGAAUCACAUACAAUAUUUUGCUUCAUCGUGUAAAUAGCUUUAAUUGAAACGUCAGAUAUUUGCGUUAACAGAGAUAAUAUUGGAAUGCAGCUUGUUUGCAUAUCGUUGGUUUUGUCUGGGAAGAAAAAAACUGAUGAGAAAUUUUUGAAGAAAAAAUGGAAUAAUUUAAACAAUAAUUCGAAACGAAUUGAACAAAACAGGAAACGUAUCACGAUACAUGCAAAAUUGAAGUAAAGACACAGAUACAGCAAAUUUUUAUAUAACAAAACAAUAUUAUCUGGAAUUUAAUAGUAAAAAUAAAUGUCAUUGAUAAAAUAAAAUAUCAUUAUUCUCUGUCAGAUGAAUUCCAUAUUCAUGGCAAUAAUAAAUUUUAAAUUAUCUCUUCUAUUCUAGAUAAAAUCAAUCUUAUCUACUUGUUAUAUCAAGUUAAACAUAAACUAUAAAUGAAAUAUUUAUACAUAUAUUAAAAAUUAAUAUAUAAUAUUAACUUAUUAUAAUAUAAUUGUCGAUAACUAAAGUUUCAAGUAAUUUCAAGUAGCCAACAGCUUCGAAAGAAUCGUACAAUACAAUCAGCAUACUGUUACUCUUCUCACAUAUUUUAACAAAGUAUCGGCUUAUUAAGCGUAUUAACAUGUUUUCCAAUACGUGCAACACGCGUUUAACACGUGUUGCUGAGUUCAUCAUGACGAACGAGGUAAAUCUCUCCUGUUUCGUGGCCUAACGUAGGCUGGGUUCGAAUAAAAAGAGACUCUCACGAAGCUAACGAGGCUAUGCAAAGUUUCUUCACUUUCGAAAGAGGCUUUAAUGAAACGACGCACGAAAAACGGGCAUCGACUCGGAGAAACUUUUGCGUUUUCGAAAAGAACCGACUCGAAACGCGGAGAUUAUUAAUCCAUUAAGGAUGGAGUGGUGAAAUAUUUACGCGUGUAAUUAUUCAUCAUUUAUCAAGGAUGAUUCUAAUGCAUUCGAAUGUGAAUAAAUAUUAAUUGUAUUAAUCGACGAUACGUAAAUAUUCAUAAGAUAAGAUAGAGGCAUAGAAAACAUUUCCAUGAUUUAAUGAAAUUUUGUAACAUUGUUGAUUGAAAGAUGAAAUACCAAACCAAAAAUUCUUGGAAUUAUGAUAUAAGCCUCGAUACUUUCGAGAUUGAAAGAGAAAAAAAUUUCUUCUUAUUAAUUGUUUAUUCCAAUAGAAUUAUAUUUUGUGAAAAAGAUAUAUUGUAUCAAAAUUUCUAGAUCUAUUUUUUUUAAUGAAAACAAAAUGACGGAGAUGAUACGAAUUUUCGUAGGAACAAGCAUAUGUGAAACAAUGCGACUUUUCUUUUUUUUUUUUUUUUUUUGUCACGAGUAUUUGUGGAUGCAAUCUCGAGUAAUAAUCACGCCCAAGAUGAAAUCUCGAUGGUACAGACAUAAUCUGCGUCCAAUCUGCCAAUACUGUUAGCUAAUAACACGACAUUAGUCGGUGAAUAUUGCAGCAACGUCGAAAGGAGAUGGUAUAAAUUCCAAAUGAGUAAUUUCGAGGCGUAUUGGCGUUUUAGCCAAUUCAUUGGAAUCGAAUUGAAUCAUCGAAGGAAUGUAAAAACAUAAUUUGAAUCGUGUGUUGAAUAUAAUUGUACAAACGUAAUUUAAGGAUCUAAUUACAAACAUUUCGCGUGAAAAUCUCGUGGUUGAGGAUAUCCUGUUUAUUGGGCAACAAUAUUAUUUUCAUGCGAAUAUUGUUUGGAUAGAGAAUACUUGUUGAAAUUGUAUCUUAAGACUCGAUUACAAGAAAUUACAAAUUACGUGAUAUUGAAUCUUGGCAUUCCUUAAUCUAUUUCAUCUUUAAUUUUAGAAUUUUGAAUGUACUUGAAGUUUAUAUUCGAUAAAUGUAUACCAGUGCCAGUAUGUAUGCAUGGGUUGAAAGUUACAUUCGAUUUCAAGAUGGCUAAUUAACGUUAGAAUGAUCGUAAUUUGGAUUAUGAAAGUUCACGUUGCAUCCUGGUGUAAGCAGUGAGAUAAUUGUAUCGGUGUUUUCUCACGAUUCUUACCUCUGUACUGAGACGCGGCAUGAAAGUGGUAAGAUGCUCCGUCAAGGUCUUCGUCAGCUUGAAGAGGACUUAGGCUCAAAAGUUUUGGCGCCUCGGCGUGGCCACGAAACCAACGCAUUUCUGGAAUAGCAUUAAUAAUAAUGAUAAUUAAACCUCUCAUAUAUAAAUAUUUUUAUCGAAUGGAGCAAAAUUAUUCUUAUUUCUUCUAUUGCCUUUAUCCAAUACGUUAAUUAUAUUGCAUAUAUAUAUGUAUAUUGCAGAAUAUCGAAAGAUUGCAAAGUAACGAUCGAUCGGCAUAAUAAUAAUUUAUAAAUGUGAAACGGGUUACACUUGCGGUGAAUGGAUUUCGCGUGAACGAAUGGCGACAGUUUCCGCCGUGUUCGCUGAACCGAGGCCCUUCCUUUCUAUCUCGCGAUUGCACUUGUUAUUGAUACUGAAUAUUGUAGUAAAAAAAAAAGGAAAAAAAAAAAAAGGACUUGAUGAACGAGCAGCCUUGGCAAAGAAUGGAGGAUGUGAUAAAUUACGAGGCUAUCGUUGUAUCGACUCAUUGCUACGUUUGAUUCAAAGUGCGUCGAUCACAUCGACGACGUAGAUUACACGUAGAUAUUUCGAAAAAAUCAUACAUUUGAAAAAUUCACGUUUCUUUCUUUUUUAUUUUGAUCUAUUGAAUUAUUCAUUGACUAAGAUUCAUCGAUAUACAGGUAAGAGGUAAUAAAAAAAGAAGAGGAUUAAUUAAAUUAAUUAUUUAAAACAAUUAAAUAAUUCUUUAUUGUAAUAAUAUAAAAUUUGUACAAAUAAAUCACAUUCUCAUUUAUUGUUCACGUUAAUUUAUGAAAUUAUAUGACGUGUAUUUACUACAUAUUAUAUAAUUUUUUAUUAUAUAACAGUUCAAUUAUAUUUUCAAUAUUUCGUAUCAUUGGUUAAAAGUAAUAAUUUUUCUUGUAUCAAUCAAAAAUUAAUUAAUAAUUUCAAUUUCUUUCCAGUCUCUUACUUUACAGAAAUUUAACAAGUAUCGAUUACGUGAUCGACAAAUUGUAUCCCUGCAAACCAGUGCCUCUUCUUGCGGGCAUUAAAGUCUCCAACACUGUGGCGCUAGCAUCGUUCGCUCCUUCUAAAGUAACAUUACAUUUCAAGAUUUCCCGGCGAGCAUGGAAAUUUUGCGACGCGUAUAAUAAUCCUGUUUCCACGAGGCGGCCGCAUAACGAGAUGAUUAAUACCGCGAAAUCGAGUUAUGCAAGGUGUUAAUGCAUCGAUUAUGUAGCCACCGAGGGAACCGUGGGAGAAAGAGACGAGGGGACGAGAGAGGCGACUUUCUCCGAUGCAAAUAUGUGUGCCGUCUCCACGAUGCUUCUUCACGUCUCAGCUUUUCACUUUUCAUUCAGGCGACUGAUGCCUAUCAAAGAAGAUGAUCAAGAUCGAGGAUCAAGGGUUGGCCUCCCGUCGACAGGAAGUUCACGGUCAAGUGAACUCGACUCGAGAGUGCACGCUUUGUGACACUUGGUCGGUUUAGCGAUCAUCUACUCAGAAAAGUAUGCGGAGGAGCGACAAUCGUUGUAGUUAAAAACUGGAAUCGUAUUUUAUUUCGAGUUUCUUGUAUUGUUUCGACAGUUACGAUUUUAUGAUAUACCGUAUGUAUACAAAGAUAUUCUUUUUGAAAAUAUAAAUUCCUUCGUGACGUUAUGAUAUACUCAACCUGUCAUACGAAUCCCAUCGAAAUUUGAAAUCGACUAAUGCAUUUUCUUAGAAUUUCCAAGAAUAUCAGAAGAAUAUAGAAUUUCUUAGUCGAUUUCGAAUUAAUAUAAAUUAAAAUAGCAGGGAAUUUCGAUGAUUCUAAACUUUGGCACAUAGUUUACGUGUGUUUUAACGUUGAAUGAAUUGCAUGGUUAGAUAGAAAAAUAGUUUUUCUUUUUUUUUUUUUUUUUAGAAUUAUGUGGAACGCGAAUUUUACGCUCCAAUUCUUGGUUUCAAUUCUACAAAGCGGAGAGACUUAAGUAGGUGCAGGUUUUACGUCUGGUUAAAGGAAUCAAGGAGAUUUUGUCUCGUUCUCAUUUAUUAUUGAUGGUCGAGCCUGGUCACGGGUAGAUGAUUCGAGGAACGAUUGGAAAGUUAGAGAGAAGAACAAUUUGCGAUACAAUUGUGUUUGAAAAAUGAUAUAGAAACAGGUAGAUUUUAAUUAUUCGAUUACGGUCCGAAAAGAAACGAAGGAACUUUGUAAUCUUUUUAAAUCGCAAGAAUAUCUCCUUUUCUGUCUUGAGCAAUCGACAAUUGAAAAAAAGUAAAUUAUUAAGAAGAAGGACCAAACAUUAAUGUAAUCAUUUUAGUUUAAUCGAACUUAAACAAAAAUUAUUCUAUCUUCCAUCCUCAACUUCGAAAUUCCACCAUCUUUCACUAUUCAAAUUUGUCACUCAAUCCAAAAAUUUCAACAAUUUCAACAAGAUGAUUCAAAAAAAAACCACUCGUCCACUAAUCUUGCCCACGAAUAAGCGCACAAACAAGCCACUUAUGCACGCGCCUGACGAUAAAUCCCACGUCACGGACCGCGAGUCGUUAAGGGUUUGAAGAAUCUGGAAGCUCCAGUUACCCGUUCGCAGAUUUAUCGUUCCACUUUCGUGGCUGCCGAUUCGUUUCAGCCUCCGGCGUUAAACGUCCCUUCGACGUUCCAGAUUGUAAAUCUUCGUUGCAUCCGUUAUCGAAAAUCGGUAAUACCAGCAGCCAUUUAGCCACAGAUUUCGCGAUAUUCGCGUGGUUAAACUUUGCCAAUAUGAUGAGCCAAGCGAUGAUUGGCCGAUUAUACUCGACCUUUGGGGGGGAGACUUUAAUUUUGCACCAUUUUUAUUUCUGGAACGUGUUUGUACGCGUGCGUUAUACGCGCGUUGUUGUGUGAGUUUAAGAUAUUGGACGAGCAUGAUUUGCAAUUCAAUGGAUGAAAGAUGUGUAAGGUCGAGUGGAGCGGUGAAGGAUUCGUUUAUUUCUUCUUCUUCUUCUUCUAUUAUUUCGCUAAUUUUUUAUUGCUUCGUUUCGCGUGUAAAUUUAGCUUUAGUUUUAAUUUUAGUUUCCUUUUUAUAUAUAUAUGUUAUAUAAGAUAAGAUUCUAAUUUUUUAGAAUAAUAUUAUAUGGAAUUCGUUAGAUUGGGUUGUUAGUUUAUAUAACUAAUGAUGUUUUUUUAUUACUUUUGAAAAGUAAUAAUCAAAAUUAUGCAAGCGAGAGUUUCCCGGCAAUCUUUGAAUAGAUGUCACAUCCGUGUUACGUGUGCAUCAUGGAAUAAAUAUUUAUCACACACACGUUCACUCGAGUAGAGAUAUUGGAAUACGAUUGAUAAUGUUAAAAACGCAAUGAUAAAAAAUAUUAUAUCAUUUUCUUUUUUUAUUGUAUAACACAUGGUUAUAUAUAUAUAUAGCGUGAUAUUUCUAUCAGAUCUGAAGGGGAAUUUUCGUUAUACAGGGACAGGAUAAAUGUAUGAUACGGAUGAGUCAAACGUGAAAUCAAUUUCACGAUAAUUUUCAACCGCGAAGCAUUCUCUGUUGCAAAAACGCGAAAUAGACAAGCUUGUCAUAAUGGAAGUGUGGUAUACACGUAUCUAAAACGCUCGAAUCCAUUAAGUAAUUUAUUCGUCGCGCUUUCACUGAUCUUCCAAGUAAUAAAAUAAGGGAGAUGGCGCGUAGGCAAGGAUCGAACGGAAAUAAAGUGUAACUGAAACGCGAAAAAAAAUUGGAAUCACUUUCUCAACGAGGCAAAUUAUCUCAGGGAUUUUAAAACGAUUGCGCAAUUAUUAAAUAUAAACUCGAUGUAUUGCUGUAUCGUUUUUCCUGUUCUUAUCUAUUUGAAUUACGUUGUGUUAAUUAUACGACCCUUGGAUAAAUUUAAUUUGAGAAAUUCUACGAUUACAUUCAAAAUUAUAGUAUUUUCACUGUUGUACUUUUUUAAACUUGUGACAUUUUUCUGAAUGUUGCACGUUCAACAAAAUUGAAGAAAUAUUCAGUUGGAAUAUUUGGAAAUUAGAAAUCUUUUAAACUAAACCAUUUAAUAAUUUAUUUAACACACAAUUCAAAUAUAUCUUUUCAGAAAAAGGUUUAAAGGUUUAAAUUUUUUAAUAUUUAAAUUAUAAUAAUAAUUCUUAUAUGAGAAAUGUAAUUCAAAUACCAAACUAUGAAUAAAAAGUAUAGAUUACUUAUAUUAAUUCUAUAUCAUAAAAGAACAAGAUUAUAAUUAAUUUUUUAUCAAGUAUCGUAUUACUUAAGAAUGAAAAGAAUUCGUCGAUCGCUCUACAUUCAAAUUGAAUCUCAUUUUCACGAUUGUUUCGACCUGAUCGCAACGAGAUCGGAGUCAAACGGUCUCUGAGUCAUCGAUAAACGUGGUCGAUGAAAGUAGAAAGUAUCCAAAGGGAUCUGGGGGUGGUAGUAUCGAUCUGAAAAACUUUCCUCGGGCUAAGUGAAUCGUACUACCGGGUAAUUGGCCUCGAUCUAUCGAUCUUACGAUCGACUGGAACAACUAGAACUGCAUUUUUAUUAACCAGGUGUUUCGUGGACUUGUAACGCCAAGCGUUUUUCCUCUCCUUUCAAGAACGAAUCGUUUGAGUAAGCGAUAUAUAAUUGCAUUCUAAGAAAUAGUUUUUGAUAGGUAAGAUUGAUAGACUGAUAGAAAAUAUUGGAUGGAAUCUUGCAAAAUUUCAAAUUUUGUUCAGAAAAAUAUUUUACGUGACAUUUGUGUAGAUUUUUUAGUAGAUUAAGAUAUAUUUGAUUGGAAAUUGUAAUAAUUGUAACGAUACAUUUUUAUAUGUAAAAUGGGAGUUUGUGGAAAAGAAUUUUGAACGAAAACUUUCUCCAAACUUUCAUCGAUUAGUGUGCACGAUACGAUCUAUUUUUAUUCUAUUUCUUUCUGUCACAAGCAUAAACUAUUGUAAAACCUUCAAUAAAUCACAAUUAUGGAAACGAUUGAACGAUUCUCUUAAUUAUACUUCCUUAUAUUGUUCGAGAUUGGUCAUUAUUUAGAGACAAUCGACAAACUAAAUUACACUUUUAUACGUCGUAAUUUAGCCGACGGCUAUGUCUAACACAUGUAUCCAUGGUUCCAAAGUGACCCACUUACUUUGCUACAGCAUUCGUUGCACACACAAUCGUUGGCACGAGAUAUAAUUCGAGGUAUAUACGUUCGUGCGUCGCACAAGUUGCGUACAACUCGAUUCUUUUGGGACGAUCGUCUCGGGAAUGUUGAUCGUAAACUACUUUCACACCGAGAAGAAUUCAACCGGCAAUGGUUGCAGCCGGAAAUUUGCAGUUGGAGGUUACAAUGUAUUUGCACGAUCGAUGUUAUGAAGCAUACGUAAGUAUAUAACAUCUAUAUAU